UGGAAACAGCUACUGAUUAUUUGUGUCGCUCAUUCCGAACAUGUAAGCACUCACCUUUACUGUAUAAUAUCUAUUUAAUUAAUCAAUUCAAUUUCUUUCAUUACAAUUUUAUUUUUUUAAUGAUUGAGAUUUCAUUAUUAAAAUUUAUUAAAGUUUCUAUCAAACUUUGAACAAAAUUAUAAUAUAAGAAGGUAUAAGCAAACAAUUGUAGAAUUAUUAAUUUUGGAAAUUAGAAUGCUUUUUGCUUACCAAAAAUUAUAUAUCCCUUUCUCUUCUUACUAAUAAGUAAAAAGUCUGAUAAGGCGUAUACACAUGCUUUCCAAUACAUCAAUUCAAAUAUAUUUAAAUUCCUUUCAACUUCAUUUACGUGUGAUUUUGAACAGGGGUUAAGGAGAGCAUUAAAUAAUGUUUUUCCAACUGCAAUUAUAAAUGGAUGCUGGUUUCAUUUUUGCCGGGCAAUCAGGGGAAAGGCAUCGAAAUUCCCAACAAUGAUGCAAACUAUAAAAAAAGAUACUAAAUGUAGGAAAGCAUUCAGUAUGUUUUUCGUGCUUCCUCUGUUAAAACGAAACAAAAGCAUAUUUAGGCUUUGAAGGCUUUAUAAAAUAUUUUAAAAGACAAUGGAUAGCAGAGGAUGUUUUUCAGCAGUUUUCUGUAUAUAAGAAAUGUUUCCGAACUACAAGUAUGCUUGAAACAUAUAAUGGGAAACUGGGAAAAAUACUGCCCAAAAACGGAAAUUUUUUCAAUUUUGUUGACCAGCUGCUAGACGAAGAGCACAGUUUAACCGUCGAUUUCUUAUCAUCGUUGGAGGGUGAAACCUUUAAAAUGUUUGAAAAACCGAAACUCAAAUUUCAGCGCCGAAACGAGCUGAUAGAACGUUUAACGCUAAAAUUUGAAAGCGACCGUUUGACCCUCACUGAUUUUAUUCGUCAAUUAACAUCAAUUAAUUCCAACAAUACAAAUAUUGACUUAGAUGCACUGGAGGAAUUGAGCGACGAGGAGAAUGAAGAUGACGAUGACGAUGGUUCUCUAAACAGCAAUUAUGAAAACGCUAUGCUUUGUGGAGUCUGCUUCAAUAACCAGCGUAAUACAAUUCUUAUGCCGUGCAACCAUAUUAAGUUAUGCGAUGAAUGUUUCACAAGCAUAGUUGAAACAGCAAAUCAUUUCAAAAACGAGAUCCUGUGCCCCUUUUGCAGACAUAUAGUGACAAAGAGCGCGAAGGUGUUUUUCUGAAUUAUUAAUUAACUAUUCAAAUUCAAUUUUGUAUUAUAAUAGAAUCAUAAAUUAUUCUGUUUUCAGUUUUUCCAUAAAAAGAAUAAAUAAAUUUAUUUAAUUCAA